CCUACGGGUGGCAGCAGUGGGGAAUUUUGGACAAUGGGCGCAAGCCUGAUCCAGCCAUGCCGCGUGAGUGAAGAAGGCCUUCGGGUUGUAAAGCUCUUUCGGCGGGGAAGAAAUUGCACUGGCUAAUACCUGGUGUAGAUGACGGUACCCGCAUAAGAAGCACCGGCUAACUACGUGCCAGCAGCCGCGGUCAUACGUAGGGUGCGAGCGUAAAUCGGAAUUACUGGGCGUAGUAAGUGCGAUGGGGGUUCCCCGGGCUCAACCUGGGAACUGCAUUUGAGACUGCACGGCUAGAGGAUGGCAGAGGGGGGUAGAAUUCCACGUGUAGCAGUGAAAUGCGUAGAGAUGUGGAGGAAUACCGAUGGCGAAGGCAGCCCCCUGGGCUAUUUCUGACACUCAUGCACGAAAGCGUGGGGAGCAAACAGGAUUAGAUACCCUAGUAGUC
rnacentral:rRNA from 1 species